rnacentral:rRNA from 1 species
UCCGGUUGAUCCUGCCGGANGCUACCGCUAUUGGAGUCCGAUUAAGACAUGCGAGUCGAGAGCUUUCGGAGCUCGGCAUACUGCUCAGUAACACGUGGGUAACCUGCCCUGUGCUGGGGGAUAACCUCGGGAAACUGAGAACAAUACCCCAUAGUCCACUACGCCUGGAACGGUGAGUGGAUGAAAGCCCCGGCGGCACAGGAUGGGCCUGCGGCGUAUCAGGUAGUAGGGGGUGUAAAGUACCCUCUAGCCUUCGACGCGUACGGGUUGUGAGAGCAAUAGCCCGGAGAUGGAUUCUGAGACACGAAUCCAGGUCCUACGGGACGCAGCAGUCGCGAAACCUUGACAAUGCGGGAAACCGUGAUCAGGGGACUCCAAGUGCCAGGAGUAAGAUCCUGUGCUUUUCUUCUCUCUUCAAAGGAUUAGGAAUAAGAGGUGGGUAAGGACGGUGCCAGCCGCCGCGGUAAUACCGGCGCCUCGAGUGGUAGUCGAUUUUAUUGGGCCUAAAACGUCCGUCGCCGGUCUGGUGCAUUCGUGGGUAAAUCAACCCGCUCAACGG